rnacentral:lncRNA from 1 species
AGCAGCCGGCGGCCCCGCGCGGGACGGGGCGAUGCACCUGCGGCUUUGUCCCUGCUCGCUGGAGCGUGGCGGGAAGGCGGGGGCCCUGUGGGGCCGAGCCGAGCCGAGCCGAGCCGUGCCAUGCCGCCGGCUGGGAACAGGCGGUACGGGCGGUUGUGCAAUGCGGCCUCACCCCAGCCUUUGCUGGGGGGGAAAGAGCCCGUCUUCCCCUCCGGAGAGCCAGACUUUGUACUGAGCGGGCAGGGAGUGUCAGCAGCAGGAUGUGAACGGCUGCUUGGGUGUCUGCAGACCCACCCGCUGCCAGCAGUACCCUCAAAAGUGUGUGUGUGGGGGAGAGCAGCCCUCCCCGGGACCACCAGACCCCAGAAGGGCAGUCCCAUGGGUUGGGAGGGAGCCAGAGGGGGAGAGAAAGCAAGGAGGGGCUGGGGCACAGGAUGGGACUUGGGAGUUGCAUGUCCCCAGAUCUGGUGCUGUGUGGACGCUGCUGCUCCUGCGGGGCCAGGGGGGGCGUCCCCGGUGACCCUGGUGGGCUCCAUUCCCAGUGGGGUGGCUCCUGGCAUGGGGACAGCUCUGUGCUCACGCCCCUGUUUGAGAGGACAAAGAGAUGGUCCUGGCUGCGGUGGGUUCCUAUCCAUCCCGGCUCCGGGGCUGGCAUUUUCUUCCUUAAUUGUGCUAAUUAGCUCCACACUUUCAGCCCGUGGGGCUGAAGCUGUUGUCCCACAGAUGGCUCCCACCCCACAUGUCCCCCCCCUCCAUCCAGCUGAGGAGAGCUUCCCCAAGGACACGCAGCUACCAAAACAGGACACGUUUAUUGACAAAUGUAACUCGUACAGACCACGCGUAACAGGGAGAGAAGGCGCCUGGCCGGCGGGGGGGCCAGGGGGCCGGGGGCUGUCGGGGCAGGGCACAGGGGCACCGCCGCUUCCUCCUGGCGCUCAUGCGAAGAGCUCUCCUGGCAACCCGAAACUGGCUCUGUUUACACGAAACCGUCUGUAUUUACACAGCCGCCCGCCCGGCUCCCGCUCCCGCGGCCCAGCCCUGACCCCAGGACCUCUCCCGUUGCCCCCCCCCCCAUCGCCCCCCACCUCUGCCCACUCUC